UAAUACGUAGGUGGCAAGCGUUGUCCGGAAUUAUUGGGCGUAAAGCGCGCGCAGGCGGCCUUUUAAGUCUGAUGUGAAAGCCCCCGGCUCAACCGGGGAGGGCCAUUGGAAACUGGAAGGCUUGAGUACAGAAGAGAAGAGUGGAAUUCCACGUGUAGCGGUGAAAUGCGUAGAGAUGUGGAGGAACACCAGUGGCGAAGGCGACUCUUUGGUCUGUAACUGACGCUGAGGCGCGAAAGCGUGGGGAGCAAACAGG
rnacentral:rRNA from 1 species